rnacentral:lncRNA from 1 species
CAUUUCUUGGGCCGCUCCUGCGGCAUUUGGAGGUUUCCAGGCUAGGGGUCGAAACAGAGCUGAAGCCACUGGCCUACACCAGGGCCACAGCAACACUGGGUCCGAGCAGCGUCUGCAACCUACACCACCGCUCACGGCAAUGCCAGAUCGUUAACCCACUGAGCAAGGGCAGGGAUCGAACCCGCAACCUCAUGGUUCCUAGUCGGAUUCGUUAAUCACUGCGCCACGACGGGAACUCCCCAUUAUCUGAUUUUUAUUUUCUUCACAAUACUUAUCAUUAUCUAAAAUUACCAAGUUUGAAAAAAAAAUUAAAAACUUAAAAAAAUAAAAUUACCAAGUUUGUCUAUAGUCAUCUGUUCCCCCCCCAACCUUAACACACGUUAGAAUGUAACCCCUCUGGGAGUGUUAGGAGCUGAAUUGUGCACCCCCAAAAUUCAUAUAUUGAAGUUCUAACUCCCCAGCAUUUCGGAAUGUGACUGUAUUUGGAGAUCGGACUCUGAAAGAGGUAAUUAAGGCUACAUGAGGCCAUUAUGGGGGGCCCUAAUGCAAGAUGACCGGCACCCUAAUAAAAGGAGGAAAUUAGGGCAUAGACUCAUCCAGAGGGAAGACCACAGGAAGACACAGCGAGAAAAUGGCCAUCUACGAACCAGGCAGCGAGGCCACAGAAGAAACCAAUCCUGCCAACACCUUCAUCUCAGACUAGAUCUGGCCUCCUGAACUCCAAGAAAAUAGUUUUGUUUUUCAAGCCACCCAAUCUACGUAACUUGUAAUGGUAGCCCUAGAAAACUAAUUUAGCAAGAAAGAGGUAGGUCUGCCUCGGUUAUUUCUAUGUCCCUAGCACCUGGAACAGUUUCUGCCACACAGUAGGUGCUUCGUAAAUAACUGCUGAAUGAACACUGAAAAUACAAACUACUUACUAUGCCCCCCAAAUGUACAUACUGUUUGCUACAUAUGAGUCUUUGCUGUUCCUCAGCCUAAAACCCCCUUCUGCAUCCAGCCAAAGAAAUCUCAUUUUCCCCUCAAAACUCAAUUCAGACUCAUAUUCUCCUAAGAUGCCCUUGACACCUGCCUGCCCGCCCCCAGACAGAAUUGAUCACUCUCUUCUCUGUGCUUUUCUGCACUCUGUACACGUACGACUGUGUCACUGUAACUGCUAGGCUGUAAGCUUGACUUCAGAAACCAUAUUCAACUCUGAUCCCUGCCAUCCGGCACUGGGCCUGGUGCAGAGCAAAUGAUCCCUCACUAAAUCGCCAGGAUCUCUGAAUCCUUAGCAUCUAACUGCAAAGUAGACAGUCCCUGCCUGAUGACUUGCUGCCUGAUAGGGAACAGAUCCACACACAAACGUCUGGCACUUUCUGGUGUAGAAAUAACUUUCUGGCCCAAGAUGGAGCUCUAUAUUACUUCCUUGUUCCUUCUCACCCCAAACAAGGUUGACAGCAUGGCCCCAGCCAUUGAGAGAGUUUCUAUUUUUCUCUUCCUUAUUCUUUAUUCCUAUAUCCUAUAAAAGCACCCUGCCUUCUGCUCCAUUUUG